rfam:Felis catus isolate Cinnamon breed Abyssinian chromosome E3, whole genome shotgun sequence.
UUUUUAGUAUAAGUAAGUCCCAUGCAAUGUUUAGGACAUACUCGUGCUAAAA